rnacentral:rRNA from 1 species
AUGGAGGGAGUAGAGGGAAUGCUAAAGAAGAUGAAUUUGUCAGAGGCAGAGAAGAAGGGCGUGAAAAUCGAUUGUCGGAGAACAAAGCAGGCGGAAGGGGGGAAGGCAAAAGCGAUGGGGAAACUGAUCUCAGACAAACCUGGGUAUGCAGCGGGCAUGGAGGUGGCCUUGGGCAGGGCUUGGUGCCCAAUGAGCAGGUUGGAGGUGAAGGAGAUGGGAGGCAAUAGAUUCUUGUUCAUAUUCCAUCAGGAAGCGGGGAAGAGGAAAGCAGUGGAGAAUGGACCAUGGACAUUUGGGAAAGAACUAGUGAUCAUGGAGGAUUUUGACCCGGCUAAAACUCUGGAUGAUUACAAGUUUAAGAAGGUGCCGAUUUGGGUGCGGAUCUUCAACGUACCACUUGGGCUCAUGUGCAAAGACCUUGCUGAA